GCCAGACUGACUCCUCGCUCUCUGCUCUCCGUCAGAAUUCGUUGGACGAAUCUCAAUGAAUCCCGCGUCAGCCGAGUGCUGCUGCAACGGAAAAAGGUGGGGACGCUGGCUCUGCCUGUGAGUUGAGAGGGAGCUUUACUUGAACACUGUGUCCGGAGUGUGCCGGAAACCGGAACCGAGGGGCUUCAAGGGUCAGAGUCAAGGUCAACUGCUCCAAGUAGAAAGCUCGAAAUGCCUGGUCUUUCAUGGCGCCUAUCGGAAAUAAUAGGUCUUUGAUCAAAAAUAGAAAAGGAAUAAAUCAUCUGAAUAAUUGUAUGCAGAGGUGCCGGAGAGGAAAAGAAGAAUUAACAAACCUUUCUGGGCGGAGACCCUCCCCCCACCCCCGUUUUUUCCUUGUCUUGAGAGAGGUUACUGCCCUGACCAAAUACCCGCAGCCAGUGAGCCCUGAGCAGCGGCUCAGACCUGGGGCAGCCCGUCCCAUCCUCGUGGUUCAGUGGAUGGUGACCUGCCGCCCAAGAACCCAGGAAAGGCUGGGGUCCCAGAGGCUCUGUGCUGUGAGGUGGGUGGCACAUAAAAAAUCUGGCUCAACCUGUUGACUAUAAUAGAGGCUUUGUGUCACCAGAUCUGUGUUUGGGGGUGGUGGUGGCUGCGGGGAGAUAGACACUGCCUAAAUACUGCCUGCCUGCUCCAUGGCUUCCCUAGUGAGGAAGCAGGUGUGGGGUUUGCUAUGGGUCCAAGAAUAAGAGGGGUGCCCUCUUUGUUGUAUCAGUGACAUGCAGGUGGGCAAGGUAGGUUGCAGGCUCAAGAGACAACUCAGUAAGCCCCUCCCUAUGGGCUAUGCAGAACAGGAGCAGCUGGGACUCCA
rnacentral:lncRNA from 1 species